GCUCCUCUCGAUCCCGUCCCCUUCCUCCCCGUCGUCUUCUCCUCGCGACGCCCCACCCUCCACCAGCCCGAGCCCCUCGCUCCCUUCUCCACCAGGCCCUCCACCUUCGCUCGAUUUUACCUUGUUGUCAUGGGGGAUGGGGUCGUCGGGCUCAUGGCCGAGCUCGACAAGGUGGAGCUCGUGCGCUCCCACGACGAUCCCGAGCGCAACCCUGGCUUCUGCUUCCUCUACUACGCGGACGCCGAGGCAACAGCGGAGCGUGCUGCGUAGGUCGAUGGGGUUGACUUCCGGGGUGGCUCUAUGACGGGAGGAAGGGGCGGGCCAGGGCGGAGGACAAGGCACGCUGGGCGGAUCACGGCCAAGGGAAGGAGGCGCCAUCGCCGUGGCACCACGGUAGCGCUCCUUCCUCGUCAAGUCCGAGAACCUCAAGGGAGCCAAGUCCGAGGAGCUCCUCAUCGCCUCCCGCAAGCACUACUGGUUGACUGCACGACGUGCGUCGAGGAUCGUCGGAGGGUGGCACUUCUUGUUCCGCCAAUCCACGAGCAGGGAGCGGAAGGCGCAGCCAGCGACCAGGCGCAUGGGUGGCGCAAUUAGGGCAUCCAAUCAUCCCAAUUAGAUAGCAGAACUAAAGUUUUCUCUAAUUUAGAUUUCAGCUGCUGCAGGGAGGGGGCUGCUUCUCCCCGGUGUCGGAGCUCGUCGGGCGGGCAGAGGCCGCCGCAUCGGCGGCCGCCUCGGAGAUCUCCGAGACGUCCUCCGCCGCCGCCGACGCGCUCAGCUCCGUCGUCGCGGCCGUGGUGCGCGCGCCGCCCAAGGACUUCCGCGUCAUCAGGCAGGAGUGGGCGGCCAUCCGCAUCCAGACCACCUUCCGCGGCUUCUUGCAGGCAGCAAACGGGACAGUGUGGAAACAAGGGCAGAGGAAGAACGCCCUGGAGGUGAUGCAGGUGUCGGAGCAGCAGCGAGCAACAGACCUUUUCUCGCAGAAGGUGAAGAGGUCGUCGUUCAGCACGUCGGACAAGGUUCUUCAGCUGUCAGACUAGGUGGAGGCACUCUUCCUGAAGCACUUCGCGCUCCUCGACCUCGACCUCGAGCUGGCACAGGGGCAAGCUGGCGCAGAUGACAACGGCCGUGCUCCUCGACCUCGAGCUCCGCCCCCGUCCGCCCACGCUCCUCGAGCUCGAGCUCUGCCCCCGCCCGCCCCUGGCCGCUGGUACUUCCCCUGCCCCCCCUCUCAUCGUGCUGCUUGAUGCGAUCUGUGUUGUACUGCUGUAUGAACCAGCUGUUGCUUAUCCCAUCGUUGUUGCAUUGCUGUCGAGUUAGCUUCUCAUGCCACUGCUGCAGCUGUUUGCUGCCUCAUGAUUUUGCAUGAUGAGUUGAAUUAGAAGCUGCUUAUCUAUGAAUCGUUACUAAUUCAAUAAUACCAAUGGUGUGGUGGUGCAUUAAUCAACAGUAAAUACAUAGACGUAUGCAAGGGUUUUUCCUUUGCUAUCAUCCCAACUUAACACAUGAAGAUUGCAAAGAACAUUCCUCUUGGAUGCCCUGUGAACACAUCCACUACUAGUCAAGUCAAGCUGUGUAUGCAUAUCAAAUUUCUGCAAUGUGAACAUAUCCCCCUGCUGAUUGAUUAUUCUGGUGGUGCAUAUCCCCCUGCUGAUUGAUUAUUCUGGGGCUACAAGUGAUGCAUACCCCCCUGCUGUGAACACAUCCAGUCCAUACGUAUGGUGACUGCUGAUUGAUUAUUUUUGUUUUCCUGUGAAUCCCAUCUUUAUUGACUAGCAGCACUACACUAAGUAUUACAAAUCCGCCGUGCAUACAAUCCAGUCAUAUCAACAUGUAGUUGCUUUGUAUAUCCUGUAAAUAAUUUCUUUGCACGCCCAUUCUACCAUGUCAAUGAUGAUGAAUUAAUUAUGAUUUCUGCCAAUGGAUGGAUUGACAUGAUGCGACGGACCUGCUGCCGGCUGUCUUCCCCGACCACUUAUGUGAGCUGCCCCUGCCGCUGACCCUCCUCAACUUUGCCCGUUGCUCGUUGUUGCUGCUGGUGCCACCGGAUGCAAGGGUGGAGCUUGCGCCUCCUUGCUGAAGCCUCUUUCUCUACUCCAGUUUAUGUUGCUUCCGUUGCUGCGAAUGUGGUUAAGAUGGUGUUCUACACCAGCUUCUUAUGUUGCAUGUGAAUGGGGUGAUAGAACUGAAAUGAGCAGAUCACUAUAUGACUAAGAAAAUCAGAAAGUACAUGUAGGAAAAUAUCAUAGCUCUUACUCACAUUGCCAAAAUAACAUGUACUUCUAGCAAUUGUGCCAAAGCAUUAGCAUUGCCUGUUUGAGAGCUUGCUGCCAGUUACUUGCUACUGCUUUGACUGAUACUUGUUGUUUGGUGCUAAUUAUACCUCUUGCUAGUUCUACUCUGAUUCAUGUUUGCAUGUUGGCUAGAAAUUACCCUGAUUAUACAUUUUUUUUUGUUACACUAUACAUUAAUGUAUUAUGUUAUUAUUUGUGUGCAUGAUGCUUUGAGCCUAUUUUUCCCUUUCCUCCUUGAUUGAUCAAUUCAUGUAAUGUUAUGUUCUUGUAGGAAGGCAAGUUGUCGCAUCUGAUCACAUUAGAGGGAACAAUGAAGUUUGUACUACUUGUACGAGUUGAACAAUGUUAUGUUCUUAUAGGACAGUACUAGAUGUGCUAAUACAAGUUCAACAAUGUGAUGUAGAAAGUUAAGGCAAAUUGUGUAGAUAAUGUAUUCGUGUGUAACUAAAUGUUGUAUUCCCUGUGUAAACGGUGCUUUAAAUGACAUGAUGAUAUUGAAAUUGUGUACAA